rnacentral:rRNA from 1 species
CAGCCGCCGCGGGAAUACGUAGGGGGCAAGCGUUGUCCGGAAUCAUUGGGCGUAAAGCGCGUGUAGGCGGCUCGAUAAGUCUGCUGUGAAAGUCCAGGGCUCAACCCUGGAAUGCCGGUGGAAACUGUCGAGCUCGAGUCCGGAAGAGGCAAGUGGAAUUCCUGGUGUAGCGGUGAAAUGCGCAGAUAUCAGGAGGAACACCAAUGGCGAAGGCAGCUUGCUGGGACGGUACUGACGCUGAGACGCGAAAGCGUGGGGAGCAAACAGGAUUAGAUACCCCAGUAGUCCCUGUCUCUUAUAC